UGCACCUACGGGAGGCAGCAGUGGGGAAUAUUGCACAAUGGGGGGAACCCUGAUGCAGCGACGCCGCGUGAGUGAAGAAGUAUCUCGGUACGUAAAGCUCUAUCAGCAGGGAAGAAAAUGACGGUACCUGACUAAGAAGCCCCGGCUAACUACGUGCCAGCAGCCGCGGUAAUACGUAGGGGCAAGCGUUAUCCGGAUUUACUGGGUGUAAAGGGAGCGUAGGCGGGGCAGCAAGUCAGAAGUGAAAGCCCGGGGCUCAACUCCGGGACUGCUUUUGAAAC
rnacentral:rRNA from 1 species